UACGAAGGCCCCAAGCGUUGUCCGGAUUUACUGGGUGUAAAGGGUCCGUAGGUGGUUUUGUAAGUCAUAUGUCAAAUCUUCAGGCUCAACCUGGAGGCUGCGUGUGAUACUGCAAGACUAGAGGCUGGGAGAGGUACAUGGAAUUGCCGGUGUAGCGGUAAAAUGCGUUAAUAUCGGCAAGAACACCAAAGGCGAAGGCAAUGUACUGGAACAGUCCUGACACUGAGGGACGAAAGCGUGGGUAGCGAAUGGG
rnacentral:misc_RNA from 1 species